rnacentral:lncRNA from 1 species
AGUGCUCUGGCUGAUUUAUCUUUAUGUAGAAGUGGUUGGGCAGUCAAGUUUGGACAUGAGUGCACAUGAGCUGAGCCAAUUUCGAAAGUAAUAUUUGAACAUCAGUAACAAAUGGAUUAAAGCUUAUGAAACCAUGAAGUUCUUAGAGGAGUGUAAGCUUAAUGAAGUCCUUCCAACGACUUUCUAUAAUAUAAAGUUACCUGUAAACUCCAGCAAAGUCCUCAGUAACAUGAGAAUAAUUUGCCUCAGAGUCACCAUAACCAACACGAAAAGAAGAUACAAUAGGAUCAAGGAGCAGAAACGUAAGAAAGCUGAAUCCUCCAGUGUGAGGAUGCUGAAGAAUUCCUAGAGAAAGUACAGUGACGAGAAGAAGCCAUAAAGCAGCACCUUAGAAGUAAAUAUAUAAGAGUUCAAACAAGCACUGUAGCAAAGCAUACAAGUUUUUUAUGGUAUAACGUUUUCGGAUAUUACAUAUCCCUCCUCAGUAUCAUACCUUAUCAUUAAUUACAGAAUAACUG